AUUGAACGCUGGCGGCAUGCCUUACACAUGCAAGUCGAACGGCAGCACGGGGGCAACCCUGGUGGCGAGUGGCGAACGGGUGAGUAAUACAUCGGAACGUGCCCAGUAGUGGGGGAUAGCCCGGCGAAAGCCGGAUUAAUACCGCAUACGACCUACGGGUGAAAGCGGGGGAUCGCAAGACCUCGUGCUACCGGAGCGGCCGAUGUCAGAUUAGGUUGUUGGUGGGGUAAAAGCCUACCAAGCCGACGAUCUGUAGCUGGUCUGAGAGGACGACCAGCCACACUGGGACUGAGACACGGCCCAGACUCCUACGGGAGGCAGCGGUGGGGAAUUUUGGACAAUGGCGCAAGCCUGAUCCAGCCAUGCCGCGUGCGGGAAGAAGGCCUCGGUUGUAA
rnacentral:rRNA from 1 species